rnacentral:rRNA from 1 species
CUUAUUGGGCUGUCUCUGCUCCAUGGUGUAAAUAGCCGCAGUAUCUUGACUGUGCUAAGGUAGCAUGAUAAUUUGUUCUUUAAUUAAGAGCUAGUAUGAAGGAGUUGACGACACCUAAGCUUUUUAAUUAAUUGGUGGAAUUUAAUAUUUGCUUUAAAAAGAGUAAAUAAUUAAGGGGACGAUAAGACCCUGUAAAACUUAGAUUUAUAUUGUUUUAUAGAAUUUAGUGUUAUAUAAAGCUUAAAAAUUAAGCUGGGGCGGCAGUUAAAAUACAUUAAUAAAGAUAACUUGAUUAAUGAUUUUAAAGAUCUCUAAAGAGUUAGAAUAAGUUACUUCAGGGGUAACAGCACAAUUUUUCCAGAUAGCUCGCAUAGAAGGAAAAGACUUGUGACCUCGAUGUUGAAUUGAGGGGUCUUAUUUAAGUAGAAAUAAAUAAAGAGGGUCUGUUCGACCUUUAUUUCCUC